rnacentral:miRNA from 1 species
GAGCGGGUGUAGAUAGACAUGCCA